UCAGUAUUUCUUGUACGGUCUUUAUGGUUUCUAUUGUUGGUAUCGAUGGGUAAAGGUCCUCGAUGUCGAAUGAUACGAAUUUAGUUACUAUUUCAAAUACA